rnacentral:rRNA from 2 species
ACACAUGCAAGUCGAGGGGUAUAGUUCUUCGGAGCUAGAGACCGGCGCACGGGUGCGUAACGCGUAUGCAAUCUACCUUUUACAGAGGGAUAGCCCAGAGAAAUUUGGAUUAAUACCUCAUAGUAUGCAGAGUUGGCAUCANCANUGCAUUAAAGUCACAACGGUAAAAGAUGAGCAUGCGUCCCAUUAGCUAGUUGGUAAGGUAACGGCUUACCAAGGCUACGAUGGGUAGGGGUCCUGAGAGGGAGAUCCCCCACACUGGUACUGAGACACGGACCAGACUCCUACGGGAGGCAGCAGUGAGGAAUAUUGGACAAUGGGCGCAAGCCUGAUCCAGCCAUGCCGCGUGCAGGAUGACGGUCCUAUGGAUUGUAAACUGCUUUUGUACGAGAAGAAACACUGCUUCGUGAAGCAGCUUGACGGUAUCGUAAGAAUAAGGAUCGGCUAACUCCGUGCCAGCAGCCGCGGUAAUACGGAGGAUCCAAGCGUUAUCCGGAAUCAUUGGGUUUAAAGGGUCCGUAGGCGGUUUGGUAAGUCAGUGGUGAAAGCCCAUCGCUCAACGGUGGAACGGCCAUUGAUACUGCCAGACUUGAAUUAUUAGGAAGUAACUAGAAUAUGUAGUGUAGCGGUGAAAUGCUUAGAGAUUACAUGGAAUACCAAUUGCGAAGGCAGGUUACUACUAAUGGAUUGACGCUGAUGGACGAAAGCGUGGGUAGCGAACAGGAUUAGAUACCCUGGUAGUCCACGCCGUA